rnacentral:ncRNA from 15 species
CAAUAUUCUCAGGGCGGGGCGAAAUUCCCCACCGGUGGUAUGCCGCAAGGCGAGCCCACGAGCGCUCGAUUCGUCGAGGUCAGCAGAUCUGGUGAGAAGCCAGAGCCGACGGUUACAGUCCGGAUGAGAGAGAAUGACA